rnacentral:rRNA from 1 species
AUGGCCGUUGCUCUAACUCCUGCCAGCAUGGAUGCGCUCUCUAACAGAUCAAACAAAGGCGGCACCGAGCUAUCAGCUUGUUCUAAUCCUGGUUGUGGUGUUGUUGACUCAAUCACAACGAAUCCAGAGUUUUCAGAACUGCAAUCUGGAAGAUCGGCACCGAAGCGGAAAAGUAAGCGGGAAGCGUUUGAAGGAGUAGACUACAGAAUUGCCCCUUCAAUAAAAAGUACGUUCCAGAAGUGUGUGGAACGCGUUGCUUUUAGGGGCGAUGCAGAUGUGUUUGUUCCAAGUGUUGGAACAAUUUUUGAUCCAAAGGAUGAAGUUUAUGAUUUCUACAACAUGUUCUCUUGGGAGUGUGGCUUUGGUAUUCGCUAUGGAAAGAGUAGCACUAAUAGCAAAAAAUACAGAACAAUGCAGGACAUCGUUUGCCAGUGCGCGGGCAAAGAAGAAAGGCCAAACACAACAACAUGCCGCACUGGUUGUGAAGCUCGUAUAAGACUACAUCGAACUGACGACCAUGGAUGGUAUGUGACCGUUUUCAUUAACAAGCACAAUCACCCACUAUCUGUGAAGUGUGGUGAGAAAAAACAGUGGAAAUCACAUAGCGUCAUAAGUCCUUUAGCAAAGGAUUUUAUUCGUAACCUGAGGGAGAACAACAUCAGAUUUGAUCAGAUAUACAACAUAUUAGGGUCAGGUCUUGGAUCUUCUCUAGGCGUGCCUUUUAGAAAGUAG